AGAGAGAGAGCGGCCAGGGGGAGAUACGCAGGCAGAAGGGAGCAGAAGGCCAGGCCCUCUAAAUAAAUCCCUUCCUUCCUCUCUCCAGGUCCUGGAUCUGCGCCGCCUCUACUCCAACGACAUCCACGCCAUGGCCAACACGUAUGGCAUCGAGGCCGCGCUGCGGGUGAUCGAGAAGGAGAUCAAGGAUGUGUUUGCCGUGUAUGGCAUCGCGGUCGACCCUCGCCAUCUCUCCCUGGUUGCUGAUUAUAUGUGCUUCGAGGGUGUUUACAAGCCACUGAAUCGCUUUG
rnacentral:sRNA from 1 species